rnacentral:lncRNA from 1 species
CUCCUGCCUCAGCCUCCUAAGUAGCUAGGACUACAGGAGUGUGCCACCAUGCCUGGCUAAUUUUAAAAUGUUUUGCAGAGACAGAGUCUUGCUGUGUUGCCCAGGUUGUUCUCAAACUCCUUUGGUCAAGCAAUCUUCCCGCCUCAGCCUCCUGAAGUACUGGGAUUACAAGUGCAAGCCACUAUGGUUGGCCCUUUCCAGCUUUAUUGAGCUAAGCUUUCUGGCCCCCAGAUCUGCACCUGACCUUUACCACCUCCUCAUCAUCCACUCUGGUCUGCAUCCUCUUGACCGCGUCUGAGUCUCCUUUGGGGCUGGAUGUCUGCUUCAGCAUUAGGAAAUGGACACAUCUAUAGAAUCUCUCAUGGCAACACACCAAGUAUUGUAAACUUCGUCCUUUCAACAAGUUAUAUUACUAAAAAUCGACAAACUGAACUCACAUGAAUGUGUACUUACAGAGUUGUGGCUCCUGAUUCUAUUUAAGGUAUGUUAAAGUAAAAGCAGUUAGAAUAUGGAAUAUUUUUUUCCCUUGACUAUGCCAAAGAAAUAUUGGUGAGGAAUGUUGUGGCUUAUUUUUUGUUCUUUCUACAUUUUAUUUUGUAAAAAUUUAAAUAUUUAAUCAUGCUCUUCAGUCCUUUACCCAUUUUAAGUCUUUUAGUAAGGUUUUAUAACUUUAAACAUACAGAUACUGCAUAUUAUGUAUUAGGUUUAUUUUAACAUUUAACAGAGAUUUGUGACUGACUAUUAUGAGUAUGAAUAUAUAAUAAAUUAUUACAAAUUCUAAUCAGUUACGCUGAUGUGGAAUAUUUUCAAGUGUUGAUCUUGUACCCAGUUAUCUUAUCCAAUAAUCUAUACUUUCAGUGAGCUCUAAUUGAUUUCUUGUAAGAUAAUAUUAUAAAAUGACAAAUUUGUAACCCUUCCAAGUCACUGAUUUCCAAUAUUUAUAUCUCCUUUUAUUUUUAAUUUUUCUUGUUCUUCAAAACUGUUUAAGACUUGGCGUACAUUUUAAAUAAAUAUGGUGAUAAUGAAUGGAGAGAUUAUUGUUGGUAACUAUUCAUCUGUUCUCUCUUUUAUUUUAUUUAUUUACUUUUAAUUUCUUUCUUUCUUUCUUUCUUUUUUUUUUUUUAAGACAAAGUCUCACUCUUUUGC